CCCUCUUUGAAUGCGUUUCAUCAGAUGGGUAACAUACCUGCAAAGAAAUAAUGCCCGAGUACGUGAUUGCAAUAUGCUCUAGUUCCAUUAAGGACAUGUGUUAAGAAGGAUUCUGGUGUGCUUUGAGCGAUCUGGAUUGUGUGUAUCUUCAUAAAAGGCAGAUAAUUCUUUCAAGCACGAUUGAAUUCAGUGGGAUGUGAUGCCUGUAAACAGGUAAUGGAAUGAUCUGUGAAUUAAAAUGCCUCAAGUAUUCAAAUAGUAAA